AUAUCAAUAAGCGGAGGAAAAGAAACCAACAGGGAUUGCCUUAGUAACGGCGAGUGAAGCGGCAACAGCUCAAAUUUGAAAUCUGGCCUUCGGGUCCGAGUUGUAAUUUGCAGAGGAUGCUUUUGGUGCGACGCCUCCCAAGUUCCUGGAACGGGACGCCUUAGAGGGUGAGAGCCCCGUAGGGUUGGACGUCAAACCUCUGUAAAGCUCCUUCGACGAGUCGAGUAGUUUGGGAAUGCUGCUCUAAAUGGGAGGUAAAUUUCUCCUAAAGCUAAAUACUGGCCAGAGACCGAUAGCGCACAAGUA
rnacentral:rRNA from 1 species